CUGGGAUUACAGGUGUGAGCCACCAUACCUGGCCACACUGAAUAUUUUCUGACAGAUAAAGUUUAUUUACACCUCUGUAGAACCUAGGUUUUAUUCAACUACCCAAGUCAACAAUGAGAACUAUUUCUUGCUGUUUGGUCUAGUACAUUGAAUCCAGAAUCUCUGGGAUGUGAGCCUACAAUGAUAAAUGGGUUGAUUUAUAAUUGAUUGAUUGAUUGAUAAAUACAUUGGUCUAUAAUUAUGCUUUUCCCUCCUUGGUAGAGCUUCCUCAGAAUUCAUUUCCCUGUAGAUUUUGCUCAUAAGAAUUUAGCAAAGUCCUGUUACUCUUUUCUUAUGCCAGCUUUCUCCACCUAGGUUUGCCUUUGUAAUUUCUCAGGCACCAACUCCUCCAUCACACACACUCAAUCCAUGCAUUCCCAUUCCAGACCUAGAGCUGUCACUAGAGAGGGUGAGCACAAAGGAAACAACAGCUUCUUACAAGGCAACUCCCUCAGGCAAAGGCACCAUGCAACAAAUUCCCCUUACUUUCCCAAUUUCCACAAUCAUUAUAGAAAUAUUUUUUUUCAUAUUUUUUAUAGAACUUUCAGGUGUUUUGAAUUGGGAGGAUUACUGUGCACUGUGAAACCACUAUAUCCCUGGAAACCUCUCCAGCAACAACUGAUGCUGGUGAUAACACUCCUAUUUAGAAAUCCUCCUUCUAUGUUUCUAUGUCUUCAUUCUUCUAAUUUUGCAUCUUUGUCCAGUUUCUGACUGUUCCUCACUAUUCCAAAAUGAAUUUUGUUCUCUUUCUUCUUCUCUCUUCUAUUUCUACAGUUUGAGCUACAAUCAAUCGAUUAUUUUCAUCAAUACAUCCCUAGGCUUUACCUCUCUUUACAUCUCAAAAUCGCCUCUGCAACAUCAUAUGUCCAAGACAGAACUCCCCUUCCUCCUGCAUAACUCACCAUAGCUCAGCUGAACUAACUAAAAAAUCCAAGAACUGAAAGAAGACAGAACAAGAGAAAGAGGAUACAACAAUUAGAUGCCAGUCGUGUUCUUGAGAGGAUAUUCUAGGUAGGCCUAGCCUUUCCAUUCUUUGGCUAAAUGAUAUGGUUGGAUAAUUGUCCCCUCCAAAUCUCAUUUUGAAAUGUGAUCCCCAAUGUUAGAGGUGGGCCUAGUGGGAGGGGGUGUUUGGGUUAGGAAGGCAGGUCCCUUAGGAAGGUCUUGGUGCUGUCCUCAGGGUAAUGAAUGAUUUAUCAUUCUACGAGUUCACAGGAGACCUGUUUGUUUAAAGGAGCCUGGCACCUCCUCCCUCGUUCUCUCACUCCCUCUCUCACAAUGUGAUACUCCAGGUCCCCCAUCGCCUUCCACCAUGAGUGGAAGCUUCCUGAGACCCUCACCAGAAGCCACGCAGAUGUUGGUGACAUGCUUGUACAGGCUGCAGAACCAUGAGCCAAAAUAAACCUCUUCUCCUUAUAAAUUAUCCAGUCUUAGGUAUUCCUUUAUAGCAGUGCAAAUGGACUAAAUACGCUAAGUCAGAGAGAGGAGGGGGCAGAAAUGACAAAAACCUCGGGAGAGAUGUUUGGGAGACUGAGAGUAGAGGAAAUCUGUGCCCCAUGCCCAGUAGAACUCUGAAAAUUGGCAAGAUCCCAGGGUUCUCAACCUCACAUACAAAAAGCAUAGAGUACUUAUACAGCAGGGCAGUAACAAAUCUGGAACAAAGGACUUAGCGGUUUCAUGGAAGGCCUGUGUAUCCACGCAGUAUCAAGCAAGAGAAUGAUGUCAUUGUACCAGGGAGAAGCCAACCACAUGGACAGCAUGGACAACCUCUGUACAGAGACAGAAUUCUUAUGGUUGGAACCAGGAAAACACAGCAAUUACCUGGGUAAAAUGACUCAAGACUGAUGGGAAUGAGAAUGGCUCAGCUGAUGCAGGUGUGGUUAAAUGACACAGACCCACAGAACAUAUGGCUCCACUCAGUACCUGAAUAUUGCAAAGCCAUGUUGCCUUCUCCCAAACACCCUUCCUCCUCCCAUAAAUGCAACCUAGGCGGGGUGGGGAAGAGUGCUAUGUGCAUGAAGAUGAACUGUCUGUUACCUAGCAGAGUGAGGACCCCAAACAGAAAUUAAACCCAGAGACAGAAAUAAUGAAAACAGUCUUUUCUUAACUGCCUGAUUUUGUGCAUGAGAUUCAUAUCUGCAUAUGUGCAUUGUGUAUAUAUGUAUGUAUUGUUUUCAUUCAUUAUAUUACUGAUGCAGUUAUAACUAUUGUGAUGAA
rnacentral:lncRNA from 1 species